CGUAGCGAUCAGUGGCGCCGCCUGACGUAAAAAAGUUUAACUGAGAAAUAUCGUGGAAGUUAAAAUUGAUACAUAGUUCGGCCAAUAGGGGGCGAAAGAAGUGACGUGAAUGAGAGGACUAGACGAGACGAGAGAGAGAAGACGGAGUAUAUAGUAAAGAAGAGAGGGGAUUGGUGGUCUCGCGGGCGAGAGCGAGAGGCGAGCGAAGGAGCGAGCGAGCGUGGAACGAACGGUCUAGAGAGCGCGAGCGAAGGAGCGAGCGAGCGAACGGCGAGUAAGCGAGCGAGUGGGUAGGCAGGCAGGCAGGCAGGCAGGCAAGCAAGCAGACAGACAGGCACGCAGGCAGGCAGGCAGGCUGGCAGGCAGGCUGGCAAGCAGGCAGGCAAGCAGGCAGGCCGGCGGGUAGGCGAACGACGAAGGAGCGGACGAACGAACGAACGAGCGAGCGAACGUACGAACGUACGAACGAACGAAAGAA